rnacentral:lncRNA from 1 species
CAAAGCUUUGAAACUUGAAUUUUUAGAAUACUCAGUCAGAAGUUUACAGUAAAAAAAUCUUUUGUGGAGAGAAAAGGAAAACUUGAAUCAAAUCAUGUCUGAUCAGUGUGAAGAGAGGCAUAAAAGAACACACACAAGCGGCAAACCUAAUCAAUGCGAUGUUACUAAGACGAAAUUUAGACAAGCAGGUCAUUUUGCUGCUCGUAUGAAAAGAACACACAAUAGAGACAAGUCUUAUGAUUGUGAUGUUUGUAAGAAGAGUUUUAAAAGAUCACAUAAUUUGGUAAGACAUAAGAGAACACACACGGGGGAAAAACCUUAUGAAUGUGAUGUUUGUGAGAAGAAAUUUAGAGAAUCGGGCAAUUUGGUAAAACAUAAGAGAACACACACAGGAGAAAACCCUUAUGAAUGUGAAGUUUGUAAGAAGAAAUUUGGACAAUCAAGUAAUUUAGCUGUACAUAAAAGAACACACACUGGAGAUAAACCUUAUGAAUGUGAUGUUUGUAAGAAGAAAUUUAAAGUAUCAGAUCAUUUGGUAAAACAUAUGAGAACACAUACAGGAGACAAACCUUAUGAAUGUGAUGUUUGUAAGAAGAGAUUUAGCCAUUCAGGUAAUCUACCUAAACAUAAAAGAACACACACUGGAGACAAGCCUUAUGAAUGUGAUGUUUGUAAGAAGAAAUUUAGACAAUCAAGUCAUUUAGUUACACAUAAAAGAACACACACUGGAGACAAGCCUUAUGAAUGUGAUUUUUGCAAGAAAAGAUUUAUACAAAUAGGAGGUCUUAAUUGGCACAAAAAGGAGCAUUUGUUUUGCAAUAGUUGCCACAUGGAGAUUAUUGAACCACAAAAUUUGCAAGAACAUUUUGUUGAGGAUAAAAGCACUGGAAAGUACACUUGUAACAAAUGUAACAAGCAAUUUUCUAAUUUUAUCAAAUUGGUUCAACAUAUAGCAAGACAACAUGGCAAUGAUGUAAACUAUCAAUGUGGUUUAUGUCAAGAACUUGAAUCAAAAGAACCAACUGGUGUUGGAUAUAUUUGUUGUGUUUGUGAUGUUGUAUUUGAUGUUCCCAGAGAUCUCGAAGAUCACAUGGCCACCCAUGACUCAAUCUGAAUAUUGUUGCUGGCUUUGAGUAUUCAGCGAGUUUAUGCAUAUAUAGGACAUUCAGAUUGCAGUUUAUAUGAAAUAUACAUUGGCAUUUGUAGCAGACUAGUUGUUUAUAUUUCUCAUGCCUAUUAUUUUACUGUUGUGUGAGCUGAUGUUGAUCACUAGAUAGGGAGAGAUCAUUAUGUUCCUGGUGUUAAAUAUGUGAAAUAUGAACAGUAGAAUGUAUGGAGGGAGAAUUUGGCUUUUAGAAAUAUUGUUAUGUCAAUAUCUUGUGUCAAUAUAUACAGUUACAUUAAAGCGGUCAGUGCAGAAACGUGUGUGAAUAAAGCCCCAUACAAUUAUAUCAAAGUGUUCAGUCUCUGCACUCUGGCGUUGAGUGCACAAAUUCCAUGGCCACGAAACAUACAGAAGCGAGAACGCUUUGAUAGAGCUGUAUGGAGUUAUUCACGCGUGUUUCUGUAUAGAGAUAAUGUAUGGGCUAAUAUAUUGUUAUAAUAGGUCAUAGUCGGUUCCCCUGUGAUUAUUGUAGUUAAUUUUAAUAUUUAUUUUAGGGGUGUGGGUAAUUAUCAGAUUUGGGACAAUCAGUUUGGUGUUGUGUUUGUUGUGUUGAACAAUUGAGAACUGACAAUUGAUUGGG